rnacentral:rRNA from 1 species
CAGUCGAGCGGACUUGAAGAGAAGCUUGCUUCUCUGAUGGUUAGCGGCGGACGGGUGAGUAACACGUAGGCAACCUGCCCUCAAGCUUGGGACAACUACCGGAAACGGUAGCUAAUACCGAAUACUUGCUUCCUUCGCCUGAAGGGAGCUGGAAAGACGGAGCAAUCUGUCACUUGAGGAUGGGCCUGCGGCGCAUUAGCUAGUUGGUGAGGUAACGGCUCACCAAGGCGACGAUGCGUAGCCGACCUGAGAGGGUGAUCGGCCACACUGGGACUGAGACACGGCCCAGACUCCUACGGGAGGCAGCAGUAGGGAAUCUUCCGCAAUGGGCGAAAGCCUGACGGAGCAAUGCCGCGUGAGUGAUGAAGGUUUUCGGAUCGUAAAGCUCUGUUGCCAGGGAAGAACGUCCUUGAGAGUAACUGCUCAAGGAGUGACGGUACCUGAGAAGAAAGCCCCGGCUAACUACGUGCCAGCAGCCGCAGUAAUACGUAGGGGGCAAGCGUUGUCCGGAAUUAUUGGGCGUAAAGCGCGCGCAGGCGGUCAUUUAAGUCUGGUGUUUAAUCCCGGGGCUCAACCCCGGAUCGCACUGGAAACUGGAUGACUUGAGUGCAGAAGAGGAGAGUGGAAUUCCACGUGUAGCGGUGAAAUGCGUAGAAAUGCGGAGGAACACCAGUGGCGAAGGCGACUCUCUGAGCUGUAUCUGACACUCA